rnacentral:rRNA from 1 species
UACGAAGGGGGCUAGCGUUGCUCGGAAUGACUGGGCGUAAAGGGUGCGUAGGCGGCUUGUUAAGUCAGGGGUGAAAGUUUUCGGCCCAACCGGAAAAUUGCCUUUGAUACUGGCGAGCUCGAGUGCGUGAGGGGUAACCGGAACGAGCAGUGUAGCGGUGAAAUGCGUAGAUAUUGCUCGGAAGGCCAACGGCGAAGGCAGGUUACUGGUACGCAACUGACGCUGAGGCACGAAAGCGUGGGGAGCAAACAGG